AACCCAACAGUCGUUUCUCCUUACAUUCGUUUUGUAACAGACGCUCUUAAUUACCGUACUUGCUUUCUCUUCAAUCCUCUAUGUUUUAUUACUCAUUAUUUUUUCUCAAUGGCCACAUAGGAAUUGUUUCUCUCAAUUCUCAAGGUAAAUCUGUUCUUUAUGAUUUUGGAAUAUAGUAAUUCUCUUUCAUAUUUAGUUUGCUUUCUCUGCGUUCUACCUGCAAGAUGAAGUUUUCUCUAUUAUGAUCUAUUCCCAAUUUCAUUAUUUUAAGUUUUUGUCUUUUGUUAUUCAAUGAAUAUACUAAAUUUUUUUUGUUGUUGUUGUUGUUAACUUUUGGAAUAUUUCACAAAUUUUUUAACUAUUGCUUAUUGCAAGUGCUUACCAAGUUUAUUCUAUGAAAAAAAAAUAUCAAAUUAACAAGGCAUGUUGUGUUGACGCCUAUGAAAUGUUCGACAAAAAGCUCUAUAGAGAGGUACAAUUUCCACGGCUGCUGGACAAACCACUCAACAGAUGCAGGUCGGUAUUUCUUUUACACUCUUAUAUAGCUGCGGAGAAAAACAAAACCAACGGCCUUGAAUAAUUGUGGUCGUUCAAUUAUACAGUGUCUCUAAAUGUUCAUUAUAUAGUUUAGUCAUAUGGAGUUUCGAUUAUAAGAUUUUCAACUUCCUGUUAAUUCAUAUUUUCUUUUGAUUAUACUGAAUUCUUGUAUAUUAGUAUUACUAUAUUUGCCUAUUAUUAUUUCAUGAUCUACUCUUUCAUGUUCUGAUUUAUCAGUGACUAAUGCAUUUAACAUAUAAGCAACAUUUUAAUAAUCAGAAAAUGACUUAUUUGCAGCAAUAUUGCAAUGCUUAGAAAAUUUAUCUUUUUAAUUUUCUCAUAUUCUUGCCUUUUUAUCGAAGUGGUCUUUCUCUUCCUUCGAUCAUGUUGUUUCUGCCUUUUUGGGGGGUUUGACAUUUAAAUAAAGCAUAAAGGUAACUUAUACAGUGAUCAAUUUUUAUACGGGUUGGGGAAUAACGGAAAUACCUAUCUAACGGCUAUUGGAAUGGUUGAAACUAUUAAAAUAAAUGUGACAAUUAAAGUUACAAAAUCAAUAGUUUCUCUUCACACCCCAUUUUAACCUUAGCUUUUACUGACUAUGCUUUGUGUUUACCUACCUCAAUACCAAUCUCUUAAGCACGUUCUCUUUUUUAUGAUACUUACAGCUGCCGGUAUUAAUUAUAUCAUGAAAGGACUACUUCCAAAAAUGAUUCAGGUUAAAGAGAAAGCACAUGGCAAACCUGUGGUCUAUCGGCUACAAAAUAAUGAACGCAAGCACAGUCCUAUCGAACACACUGAUGAACUGAAGGACUCUGAUUACAAUGUUUUGGAGAAAAUAAAAUAUUGUCAGUGACUUAGAGGAAAAGCGUUGUAGAAGAGGAGCAAUAACAGAGAAGUCAACCCACUAUAAUUGCACACCACGAUGCGGCAAUAUCAAUCUAACUGGGACACAGAUUUGUGAUGCAGUUAAAAUUGAGAGAAUGAAGCUUGUGAAAAGAACACUUAAUGGUGUGAUGAUAUAAACAACAUGCACUUACUCUUGCAAAAAAUAUAGUUUCAAUAUUUGACAAAUUUAAAUCAAUAACUUGCUUUUCCUAUAAAUUUGGAGAGGCCUUCUUAUCUUUUAUCAUACAGGAUUUGACCAUACUUGUCUUUCCCUUCUUCCUCUGUUUUUAGUACUCUUCUUUUUUUAAAAAAAAUCACCAAAGAGAAGUUGUUUCUCUCAUUCUCAAGGUAAAUCUUAUCUUUGUGAUUUUGGAACAUAGUUAUUCUCUUUCAUAUUUAGUUUGUUUUCUCUACCUUCUAUCUGCAAGAUGAAAGUAUCUCUAUUGUUAUCUACUCCCAAUUUUAAUAUUUAGGAUUUUGUCUUUUUGUUAUUCAACUUCUGGAAUAAUUUACAAAAUCUUUAACCGUUGCUUUUGAUUCUUUUUGGGUAUCAGACUUCUUAGUUUCCAUUGUCUCUAACAUUCGUUUUCAACAAAAACUUUGUGGUGGUUGAUAACUUUUUCAUUUGAUUAGUACUAAUAGAUAUUUAGAUCUGUUAUAUUAGUCUUCGUGCUAUGUUUGAUUGUUCCUACUGUUUUUUACCUUCUAUUUCGAGAAGAUUUGAUAUUUUUGGGUUUUUUAUCACUUUGUUCGAUUGAAAAUUGAAAUUUAUCUUUAACUUGGAUUCCUAAGAUGUCAGAGACAAACGUAAGGGCUUGAAGACACAGUCUCUGGGGUUCCACUUUCCAGGUAUUUAAAUAGUUCAAAUUUUUUUAUUUUUCACCAAUCAAAAUUUCAUACUUCGUUAAUGCUUCAGCUCCAAUUUUCCUGCUUUUCUUUUUAUAUUUGAGUGUUUGAAUAAUUUAGUUGUAGCGUAAUCAUUAUCACGACUAAUUUAUUAUUCAAAAUUCUCAUGAUGUCCCCAUUUAGCUAUCCUUGGAGCAUUUUUCAUCAUGUAAGCAUCUAAACUAUCAUAUAUCGUAUAUAUUUUGUUAACCUUGCAAUAAUCAAUCUGGAACAUGAUUUACUCACUGGUAUAUUUUACUCCUUUCAUAGUUUGUUAAUCAGUUAUUUACAUAAUAUUCUGUGAAAUUGAGUCAAUAUUUGUUAUUAUUAUGUGAAAUUAAAGCCAUAGUUAUUUUUCUACCUCCAGGCAACGGAGUUUUGAAGAAUUGUGUCGCCCGAAGAGAUGUAGAGAAUCAAACAUCUAUUAUUUUUCUCUGAAUUGUUUUCAUUCUCAAGUUCAUUCUUUCUGUUAUCUCUAGAGUAGUUCUUCUCAACUUGACAUUUUAGCUUUCACUUUCAAUGAUCACAUUUAGAGGCUAAUACUAGAACAAAUGAAGUUGGCGGCAAUUGUGUUAGAACCCCUUUGCUAAACGGGUUGAGUUUGAGAAUAGGUAAAAAUCACCAAUAGAUUUCUAAGGAUCAACUAUAGUUAGUUAGCUUGUGAUUAGUUUUCUACCUGUUACGUUUAUUCGUAGAGGUAUAUCAUAGUC
rnacentral:lncRNA from 1 species